AUUGAACGCUGUCGGCAGGCCUAACACAUGCAAGUCGAACGAGUGGCGGACGGGUGAGUAAUGUCUGGGAAACUGCCUGCUGGAGGGGGAUAACUACUGGAAACGGUAGCUAAUACCGCAUACCAUCGGAUGUGCCCAGAUGGGAUUAGCUAGUAGGUGGGGUAAAGGCUCACCUAGGCGACGCUCCCUAGCUGGUCUGAGAGGAUGACCGGCAACACUGGAACGGAGACACGGUCCUGACUCCUACUGGAGGCAGCAGUGGGGAAAUUUGCACAAUGGGCGCAGGCCUGAUGCAGCCAUGCCGCGUGUAUGAAGAAGGCCUUCGGGUUGUAAAGUACUUUCAGCGGGGAGGCGUUACCCGCAGAAGAAGCACCGGCGAACUCCUUGCCAGCAGCCGCGGUAAUA
rnacentral:rRNA from 1 species